AAGACAAUAGAAAGAAUUCGCGCAAAAUAUUGGUUUCCACACUUAAAGAGAACUGUAUCAAAAUAUAUUAAAAACUGCUUGAAUUGCAUAUAUUACAAAAACAUUCACGGCAAAAAGCCAGGAAAAUUGUAUCCCAUUCCCAAAUACGCGAGACCAUUUCAUACAUUACAUGUAGAUCAUCUCGGACCCUUCAUAAAAACGACACAAAAAAAUUGCUAUCUGUUAGUUCUCGUAGACGCGUUUACCAAAUUUGUGUUUAUAGCUGCGGUGAAAAAUACUAAAAGUCAGUUAGUAAUCAAUGAACUACUAAAGUUAUUUAAACAAUUUGGAAAUCCUAAACGCCUAAUUUGUGAUGCCGGGAGUGCAUUUACAUCGAAACUCUUUACACAAUUUUGUAACGAUAGGAAUAUUAGGCGACACGUUAUCGCGACCGCUGUACCUAGAUCGAACGGACAGGUGGAGCGAUUUAAUUUGACAAUUCUAGAAGCUUUACGUAGUCUAGGAGCAGAUACGGAAAAUAACAAAUGGGAUCAACAUGUGACUAGGAUUCAGCAAGGUAUCAACAGCACUAUAAAUAAAACCACAGCCGCAGUACCGAGUGAGGUCUUCUUUGGGUAUAGAAUUCGUAUGGACAAUGACGCAAUCACUGACGAUGACAACACUGAGCACCCGGUUGACGUUACCUCCUUGAGGCAUAUGGUCGAUGCCAAUAUCAAAAAGGACGCCGAGAGACAAAAGGCUUCGUUUGACGCUAGACGGAAAGAGGCACCGCAGUAUAAGAUUGACGACUUGGUGGUCCUUAAAAUUCCAAGUCAUUCGAAUGACGGCAACAGCACGAAGCUAUUGCCGCUAUACAAAGGGCCGUUCCAAGUUACAGCUGUAUUAGGUCAUGACCGCUAUAAGGUGACAGACCUAAGAGGCGCCGAAAGGACCUCCAAACGCUACGAUGGCAUCGCUUGCGUCGAAAAUAUGAAGCCCUGGAUACGCCUAGCAGAUUAAAUUGGUAAUACCGGAUGUAGUCGAUAGAAAAACAUAAAGCUCCACCAUCAGCCCAUAACGGGAGUCGAGACGAUCCCGAGGGCAGGACAGCCGGAUGUAGUCGCCAGGGUUUCUUCAAGCAGCAACACAGCCAGUUCGAGCGCUGGCAACACGAACGGCGUCAAUACCUGUUCCGGUGACGUCACAUCGUCGUUAAUAAAAACCCUGACGCAGCCAACGGAGCUCUCUCUUGCCAACCAGCCGUCGAGUUGUAAAGAAGUAUCACAUUAA